AUAACAACCACCUGUGCAGCCUCAUGGCCCUGCACAACCUCCUGACCACAGCGAUGGAAUAAAGUGGUCCAGUCAGGGGCAUUUUCAGCCUCUGGGGAUGUUGAUAUAGUAACUCCUCCUCUUUUCCCAUACCCUGAAAAAAUGCAGCCCAAGAAGCUGCCGAUGUUCUUACAGCUGUGAGGGGAGGGGCUGCCCAAGGAGAGAGGUAACCUAGAGUUGAGAGAUGGAGGAAGAGAUACAGAAUCUGGAUGGCUAUGCUCUGAUCCUGUAAUCCGACUAUGCCUGAAUGUGGAUCUACUUUCCAAAGGACUUCUCCAGCUCCAUUUACAGUCUGGCUCCUGGGCCUUUGGAUCCCAGCAGUGUCUGAGCAGGAGCUCAAAGGACAGCCCCACCAUGGGGGAUCAGCCCUAGAAGCUGUCACUACAUCUCCAAUGGACGCAACUAUUUUCCAGGAACACCAGGGGAGAGAGCCAACAACAGCACAGUGGCCCCGGACCGUGACCCUUGGACUGAAGGAACCUACAGAUGUGGUUUUUUUGGUGACAUUUUACAUGCAACUCCAGAUUUCAAACUCUUUUGGAGAAGCAGGCAAUCUGGCAACAGUCGUUUUGGAUUCUCAGAAGGCAAUAAAGAACAGCUGCCACCUUCCGAGGGGCAUGGUGGGUGCCCUGUUCUGCCAGAAUUGCCAACACGCCUAUCGUCUUGGACUUGCCCAAGGUGUCGCAGUUAGAGACUGCCUCCCUUAUUCACGCUCCUGCCUGGUGCCCGUGGGCUUGAAUUUGCUCCCCUUGGAGUGGGGUGAGGCUCUGCAGACACUUCUCAUACAUGUCCCCUGCAGACAGCAAGCUCCUGGAACACAAGUCACAUGCAUUUCAUUUCCUGCUGUCUUGCUACCACCCAACAUGGGCUCUCAAUACAUGUUGAAGGCAAGGAUCAAUGAAUAAAUGGGCAACUAUCAGCUGUAGACUUGAAUGUGCCAGCAGGUGAAUGAGCUUCCUGCCCGUAGGAGAAAGGGUCAAAUCACAAGGUGGUGCCCUUGUCUCCAAAUCUCAAGGUCCUCUGGAUGGCAGGCAAGCUGGUUUUCUGUUCUCCCUUCCCCGGUCUUCUCUUGCCUGGUCUUAUUACAAGGUGUGCUAAGCCUCAUAAGGACAGUUGAAGAGAAAAGAAGUGAGACUGUGCUAGUGGCUAUAGAAUUCUGCCAGGAGAGCUGGAGGUGGGGAGGAAGUCUAUGAAUUCAACCAUGCCAAUAAUUUCAGUCGAAAAUUAAGAAAAAGCCCAUCUCCGCCCCCUUUUCGGUUAUCAAAUAUGCAUUGUUUUCCUCUUUUGUUGGGCUUUUGUGUCUGUUUCAUUCUCACCUUGACUCAGCCCCUGUGAGCUUCAACUCUAAGCCUAACUCCAGCCACGGAGAAACCAUGGAGAGGUUUGUCCAGUGUCUAGAAGAUGGACUGACUGCUGAAACAGGAGCAAGAAGAACCUCCUAGCAGGUCAGACAUACCCAAAGACAGCCACAUGGAAAUGGACACUGUUGCAAGGACGUGUGUCCAGCAGAGCAGGGGCAAAUGCCCCUGGUGCUAUAACUCCUUAAAGGCUCAAAUAUCUCUGCUGACCCAGUGAGUGCCCCUCAGCUUGUGGUGUGAGACUGAACUUAUAGACACCACCUCAACUCGAGGAAUUCAAUGCAGUGAUGAGCUGAUUUAUGGUGUUUGCCAAUUCCUGUGGUGUAAAUAACUCAUCUCAUGGCCAGUUUCAGGCUACCAAUGUGAAGUCACUGAACCCAAAGUUUGGAAGAGAUUUACAUAACAGUGGACAUAGUUACUGGGCUUCAUAGAGAAAGCUACUAAACACAAGUGCCCCUGGGGUCCAGAAAUCAACUUCUGGUUGGAACUGACCUAUAUGGUGCCAAGUGUGCAUCUUCUAGGAGGACACUAGCAUUAGCAUGUCAUCCUCCAGUCUUGCAACAAGCCUUUUCUGUAAGAGCCUUUGACUAACAUUUGUUGAAUUUUGUAUUCACUGGGGGCUGGACGUGGUGACUUAUGCCUGUAAUCCCAGCACUUUGGGAGGCCGAGGUGGGCAGAUCACUUGAGGUCAGGGGUUCAAGACUAGCCUGGCAAACAUGGCUAAACCUUGUCUCCACUAAAAAUACAAAAAUUAGCCAGGCGUGGUGGCACACGCCCAUAGUCCCAGCUACUUGGGAGGCUGAGGCAGGAGAAUCACUUGAACCCAGGAGGCAGAGGUUGCAAUGAGCCGAGAUUGUGCCACUGCACUCCAGCCUGGGUGACAGAGUGAGACUCCAUCUGAAAAAAACAAAACAAAACAAAACAAAACAAAUUUUGUAUUCAUUGAGCCAACUAAUUUAUUGAUUUUUCAUUAAAUUUUUUUUUUCUUGAGAUAGAGUCUCACUCUGUCACCUAGGCUGGAGUACAGUGGUAUGAGCUUGGCUCACUGCAAUCCCCGCCGCCUGGGCUCCAGCGAUCCUCCCACCUCACCAUCCUUAGUAGCUGGGAACACAGGCACGCACCAUCACACCCAGCUAAUUUUUGUAUUUUUUGUAAAGACAGGGUCUCACUGUGUUGCCCAGGAUGGUCUUGAACUCUUGGGCUCAAGCGAUCUACCUGCCUUGGCCUCCCAAAGUGCUGAGAUUACAGGCACGAGCCUCUGCGCCUGGCCUUGAUUUUUCUGAGUGCUAUGAAAGAAAUAAGCAAUUAUUAUGGGUUUUCCUCCUUUAGGAUUAAUGAGUCAGUGAAGGGCCAGAAGAAGGGUCCCUUGUAGAAAGUUGGGCAAUAUUUACACGUCAUAAUGAGGAGAGAGGCCAUUUCUCUUACUGUGUCUUGUCUCUGAAGAGAAGGAGGAAGUAAAACUUGAAAAACAACAGGAAUGAAGUCAGUGGCAAGACCAGCCAGUGCCACUGAUGACCAGGCCUGAGGUUAAAAGAUUAACCCCCGACUCUAACCGCAUGUGCUCUCAAUCUAUCACGACCCUUUCACAUGGAACCCCUUAGAGUUGUAAGGCCUUAAAAGGGCAGGGAACUCUGGCUUCCUGGAGCUCGGUUCUUGAGUCUGCCAAAACUCCCCGCCGUUGAGACGCGAGUCUGCCGAGGCUCACAGCCCAAUAAAGCCAAAUCCUUCGUAA